rnacentral:rRNA from 1 species
UACAGAGGGUGCAAGCGUUAAUCGGAAUUACUGGGCGUAAAGCGCGCGUAGGUGGUUUGUUAAGUUGAAUGUGAAAUCCCCGGGCUCAACCUGGGAACUGCAUGCAAAACUGGCAAGCUAGAGUAUGGUAGAGGGUGGUGGAAUUUCCUGUGUAGCGGUGAAAUGCGUAGAUAUAGGAAGGAACACCAGUGGCGAAGGCGACCACCUGGACUGAUACUGACACUGAGGUGCGAAAGCUAGGGGAGCAAACGGG